GCUCCUCUGUAACGUUGGUGACUGCCUACAAAGUUUCUUGAUCUAUGUUCGUUUUUGAGGAGGCGGUUUCGUCUUGGCAGCAGUAUACCAGACACGUAUCUGGAAACUUUAAGUAUGCUAAGCGGUUUGUCUCCACCUGGUUGUAACCGGGUCAAAAACUACGGUAAAACGGCGUCGCGGAGGAGUU
rnacentral:other from 1 species